AGAGAUUUUGUUCAAUAAUCUAGGAUUGACAAAUUGAACUCCAUAGUUUUGACACUUUCUAACUGGAUUAUCGUGUUGAUGAGUCUACUUAGUCGGAUUUUCAUCUUGGCUGGCUGAGCGAGCGCACCAGCUUUCUCAAUUCUGUUCAGACAUUUGCUAUGUGUCAUUAAGCGUCUAGGUUAGCUCAAGAACCCCAUUUAUUGGAAGGACAAUUUUGUCUUACUAGUUAUUUGGAAAGCAGAAAAUUCAUUAUGAUGGUGGAUUCCACUUAUUGCAUUGCUAAAAUGUAUCAGUCCUACGAAGAGACAAAUUUAUGAAGAAUUGUGAAAGAUGUUCCACGUGAUGUGCAUAUCAAUUUCUUGAAAGUUGAAAGAAGCUUGCAUCAUCGGAGAAUUCAUGCUACAGAGGAACUGGCUGUUGAAGAGGGAGGUGGGGUUGAAAUGCACGUUCUUGAGGAUGUCGGUCAUUGGUGCAUGCUGAUAACCCAUAUGGUCUCUUUCGGAUCUUGUCAUCCUCUUUCAAAGGGAUUAGAACUUGAGG